rnacentral:tRNA from 1 species
GCCUGGGUGGCUGAGUCGGUGAAGCAUCUGCCUUCAGCUCAGGUCAUGGCCCCAGGGUCCUGGGAUCGAGUCCCACAUCGGGCU